GACGAACGCUGGCGGCGUGCUUAACACAUGCAAGUCGAACGGAAAGGCCCUUCGGGGUACUCGAGUGGCGAACGGGUGAGUAACACGUGGGUGAUCUGCCCUGCACUUUGGGAUAAGCCUGGGAAACUGGGGCUAAUACCGAAGAGGACCACGCGCUUCAUGGUGUGGGGUGGAAAGCUUUUGCGGUGUGGGAUGGGCCCGCGGCCUAUCAGCUUGUUGGUGGGGUAAUGGCCUACCAAGGCGACGACGGGUAGCCGGCCUGAGAGGGUGACCGGCCACACUGGGACUGAGAUACGGACCAGACUCCUACGGGAGGCAGCAGUGGGGAAUAUUGCACAAUGGGCGCAAGCCUGAUGCAGCGACGCCGCGUGAGGGAUGACGGCCUUCGGGUUGUAAACCUCUUUCACCAGGGACGAAGCGUAAGUGACGGUACCUGGAGAAGAAGCACCGGCCAACUACGUG
rnacentral:rRNA from 1 species